rnacentral:rRNA from 1 species
UACGGGAGGCAGCAGUGGGGAAUAUUGCACAAUGGGCGCAAGCCUGAUGCAGCCAUGCCGCGUGUAUGAAAGAAGGCCUUCGGGUUGUAAAGUACUUUCAGUCGUGAGGAAGGUGUUAAGGUUAAUAACCUUAGCAAUUGACGUUAGCGACAGAAGAAGCACCGGCUAACUCCGUGCCAGCAGCCGCGGUAAUACGGAGGGUGCGAGCGUUAAUCGGAAUUACUGGGCGUAAAGGGCACGCAGGCGGUUAAUUAAGUUGGAUGUGAAAUCCCCGGGCUUAACCUGGGAAUGGCAUUCAAGACUGGUUAGCUAGAGUCUUGUAGAGGGGGUAGAAUUCCAUGUGUAGCGGUGAAAUGCGUAGAGAUGUGGAGGAAAUACCGGUGGCGAAAGGCGGCCCCCUGGACAAAAGACUGACGCUCAUGUGCGAAAAGCGUGGGGAGCAAAACAGGGAUUAGAUACC